rnacentral:rRNA from 1 species
GACGAACGCUGGCGGCGUGCCUAAUACAUGCAAGUCGAACGCAGUGGGGACGGGUGAGUAACACGUGGGUAACCUCCCAUCAGAGGGGAUAACACUUUGAAACAGGUGCUAAACCGAUACAGAUGGAUGGACCCGCGGUGCAUGAGCUAGUUGGGGAGGUACAGGCUCACCAAGGCCACGAUGCAUAGCCAACCUGGGAGGGGGAUCGCCCACAUGGGGACGGAGACACGGCCCGGACUCCAACGGGAGGCGGCAGUGGGGAUUCUUCGGCAAUGGACGAAAGUCUGACCGAGAAACGCCGCGUGGUUGAAGAGGUUUUUCGGAUCGUAAGACUCGGUUGUAAGGGAGGCGGUAUCUAACCAGAAAGCCACGGCUAACUACGUGCCAGCAGCCGCGGUAAUUC